rnacentral:rRNA from 1 species
CGUUCUGUAAGCCUGUGAAGGUGUGCUGUGAGGCAUGCUGGAGGUAUCAGAAGUGCGAAUGCUGACAUAAGUAACGAUAAAGCGGGUGAAAAGCCCGCUCGCCGGAAGACCAAGGGUUCCUGUCCAACGUUAAUCGGGGCAGGGUGAGUCGACCCCUAAGGCGAGGCCGAAAGGCGUAGUCGAUGGGAAACAGGUUAAUAUUCCUGUACUUGGUGUUACUGCGAAGGGGGGACGGAGAAGGCUAUGUUGGCCGGGCGACGGUUGUCCCGGUUUAAGCGUGUAGGCUGGUUUUCCAGGCAAAUCCGGAAAAUCAAGGCUGAGGCGUGAUGACGAGGCACUACGGUGCUGAAGCAACAAAUGCCCUGCUUCCAGGAAAAGCCUCUAAGCAUCAGGUAACAUCAAAUCGUACCCCAAACCGACACAGGUGGUCAGGUAGAGAAUACCAAGGCGCUUGAGAGAACUCGGGUGAAGGAACUAGGCAAAAUGGUGCCGUAACUUCGGGAGAAGGCACGCUGAUAUGUAGGUGAAGUCCCUCGCGGAUGGAGCUGAAAUCAGUCGAAGAUACCAGCUGGCUGCAACUGUUUAUUAAAAACACAGCACUGUGCAAACACGAAAGUGGACGUAUACGGUGUGACGCCUGCCCGGUGC